rnacentral:rRNA from 1 species
AUGACGACGCAUCACUGGGGGGCACUUCAUUUUUGGAACUACAAGAGUAUGGCAAUAUUGAGUUCCUUCCAAGUCACCGAGGAACCAGUUUAUGCAGCCAAAUUCAUCCCAAAAGAGAAAUGGGUUGUCGCCGGUGAUGGCAAUGGCUGCAUUCUUGUGUACAGUUACGAAGAACACCAAGAUGUGACGAGCUUUGAUGCUCAUCGUACUAGCAUCACAUGUUUGGCUGUGCAUCCGACACGGCCUUUUGUGCUGUCAUCGUCGUAUGACGAUCAUCUGAUUAAGAUUUGGGAUUGGGAGAAGGACUGGGAGUGCACUCGAACAUUUGAGGGGCACAACAGGGUGGCGCAAAUGACGUUUAACUUGGACAACACCAGCAGUUUCGCCAGUGCUUCAUCGGAUGGCACGGUCAAGAUAUGGAGUGUUGAUUCUGAUGAUGGUAAAAUCAUCACACUGGAUGGGCUCUGCGUUGACUACUUCACGCGCCGUGAUCGGCAGCAUCUGAUCACCGGCACUAAGGACGGCACUGCACAGAUCUGGAACUUGGAGAUGGAAGCUGGAUGUGUUGAAAGGCUAGAAGGGCACAGAGGACGUAUCACUAUCGUCCAUUUGCACCCCGAGCUUCCGCUGCUGAUUACAGGCUCACUUGACGGCACUGUCAGUCUAUGGAACUCCACUACCUAUAAGAUCGAGAAUAUAAUUGCUUUCAACCUGGGCGCAGUUUGUGCAUUUGGUUAUGUAAAGGCCUCGAGAAGGAUGGUGGUUGGAUGCCACAAUGGAAUAGCCACGGUGGAAAUACCUUCUUCUUGA